GAGUAAAGACAUUACUCUUCGAUACUCUGUAAUAAAAACCUGUCAAACCAAUCACUUGCUUCUUUUACCAUCUCUGGUGUCAUUUCGUGGCCAAUCCCAGGUUGUGCGAUGAACUUGAAAUUUUCUGGACAACCAAACUUCUGAUAAGCUGUCUGGGUUCUUGAUAUGGGAGCAUCCAAACCGGCAAUUGGACAUCGAGGAUCGUCUGCACCAUUUAAUAACAACAAAGGACGUGGUGCAAUGGCUGAAACUGAAUAAAUCGAGUCAAAUUGGGAAUCUAAACCAGGAGCAAUCCUACUCCAGACCUUCUUCACCAUUUCUUUGUUGAUUUCAUUCAUGCCUAAUUCGAUUCGUGCUUCCUCAAAAACAGGUUUU
rnacentral:misc_RNA from 1 species